rnacentral:rRNA from 1 species
GGGCGUUAAGUUGCAGGGUAUAGACCCGAAACCCGGUGAUCUAGCCAUGGGCAGGUUGAAGGUUGGGUAACACUAACUGGAGGACCGAACCGACUAAUGUUGAAAAAUUAGCGGAUGACCUGUGGCUGGGGGUGAAAGGCCAAUCAAACCGGGAGAUAGCUGGUUCUCCCCGAAAGCUAUUUAGGUAGCGCCUCGUGAAUUCAUCUCCGGGGGUAGAGCACUGUUUCGGCUAGGGGGCCAUCCCGGCUUACCAACCCGAUGCAAACUGCGAAUACCGGAGAAUGUUAUCACGGGAGACACACGGCGGGUGCUAACGUCCGUCGUGAAGAGGGAAACAACCCAGACCGCCAGCUAAGGUCCCAAAGUCAUGGUUAAGUGGGAAACGAUGUGGGAAGGCCCAGACAGCCAGGAUGUUGGCUUAGAAGCAGCCAUCAUUUAAAGAAAGCGUAAUAGCUCACUGGUCGAGUCGGCCUGCGCGGAAGAUGUAACGGGGCUAAACCAUGCACCGAAGCUGCGGCAGCGACACUGUGUGUUGUUGGGUAGGGGAGCGUUCUGUAAGCCUGCGAAGGUGGCCUGUGAGGGUUGCUGGAGGUAUCAGAAGUGCGAAUGCUGACAUAAGUAACGAUAAAGCGGGUGAAAAGCCCGCUCGCCGGAAGACCAAGGGUUCCUGUCCAACGUUAAUCGGGGCAGGGUGAGUCGACCCCUAAGGCGAGGCCGAAAGGCGUAGUCGAUGGGAAACGGGUUAAUAUUCCCGUACUUGGUGUUACUGCGAAGGGGGGACGGAGAAGGCUAUGUUGGCCGGGCGACGGUUGUCCCGGUUUAAGCGUGUAGGUGUGUGUUCCAGGUAAAUCCGGUUCACUUUAACACUGAGGCGUGACGACGAGGCACUACGGUGCUGAAGCAACAAAUGCCCUGCUUCCAGGAAAAGCCUCUAAGCAUCAGGUAACAUCAAAUCGUACCCCAAACCGACACAGGUGGUCAGGUAGAGAAUACCAAGGCGCUUGAGAGAACUCGGGUGAAGGAACUAGGCAAAAUGGUGCCGUAACUUCGGGAGAAGGCACGCUGACAUGUAGGUGAAGUGAUUUACUCAUGGAGCUGAAGUCAGUCGAAGAUACCAGCUGGCUGCAACUGUUUAUUAAAAACACAGCACUGUGCAAACACGAAAGUGGACGUAUACGGUGUGACGCCUGCCCGGUGCCGGAAGGUUAAUUGAUGGGGUCAGCGCAAGCGAAGCUCCUGAUCGAAGCCCCGGUAAACGGCGGCCGUAACUAUAACGGUCCUAAGGUAGCGAAAUUCCUUGUCGGGUAAGUUCCGACCUGCACGAAUGGCGUAAUGAUGGCCAGGCUGUCUCCACCCGAGACUCAGUGAAAUUGAACUCGCUGUGAAGAUGCAGUGUACCCGCGGCAAGACGGAAAGACCCCGUGAACCUUUACUAUAGCUUGACACUGAACAUUGAGCCUUGAUGUGUAGGAUAGGUGGGAGGCUUUGAAGUGUGGACGCCAGUCUGCAUGGAGCCGACCUUGAAAUACCACCCUUUAAUGUUUGAUGUUCUAACGUGGACCCGUAAUCCGGGUUGCGGACAGUGUCUGGUGGGUAGUUUGACUGGGGCGGUCUCCUCCUAAAGAGUAACGGAGGAGCACGAAGGUUGGCUAAUCCUGGUCGGACAUCAGGAGGUUAGUGCAAUGGCAUAAGCCAGCUUGACUGCGAGCGUGACGGCGCGAGCAGGUGCGAAAGCAGGUCAUAGUGAUCCGGUGGUUCUGAAUGGAAGGGCCAUCGCUCAACGGAUAAAAGGUACUCCGGGGAUAACAGGCUGAUACCGCCCAAGAGUUCAUAUCGACGGCGGUGUUUGGCACCUCGAUGUCGGCUCAUCACAUCCUGGGGCUGAAGUAGGUCCCAAGGGUAUGGCUGUUCGCCAUUUAAAGUGGUACGCGAGCUGGGUUUAGAACGUCGUGAGACAGUUCGGUCCCUAUCUGCCGUGGGCGCUGGAGAACUGAGGGGGGCUGCUCCUAGUACGAGAGGACCGGAGUGGACGCAUCACUGGUGUUCGGGUUGUCAUGCCAAUGGCACUGCCCGGUAGCUAAAUGCGGAAGAGAUAAGUGCUGAAAGCAUCUAAGCACGAAACUUGCCCCGAGAUGAGUUCUCCCUGAGACUUAAAGUCUCCUGAAGGAACGUUGAAGACGACGACGUUGAUAGGCCGGGUGUGUAAGCGCAGCGAUGCGUUGAGCUAACCGGUACUAAUGAACCGUGAGGCUUAACCUUAC